rnacentral:rRNA from 1 species
ACUGAGGCGUGACGACGAGGCACUACGGUGCUGAAGCAACAAAUGCCCUGCUUCCAGGAAAAGCCUCUAAGCAUCAGGUAACAUCAAAUCGUACCCCAAACCGACACAGGUGGUCAGGUAGAGAAUACCAAGGCGCUUGAGAGAACUCGGGUGAAGGAACUAGGCAAAAUGGUGCCGUAACUUCGGGAGAAGGCACGCUGACACGUAGGUGAAGUGAUUUACUCAUGGAGCUGAAGUCAGUCGAAGAUACCAGCUGGCUGCAACUGUUUAUUAAAAACACAGCACUGUGCAAACACGAAAGUGGACGUAUACGGUGUGACGCCUGCCCGGUGCCGGAAGGUUAAUUGAUGGGGUCAGCGCAAGCGAAGCUCCUGAUCGAAGCCCCGGUAAACGGCGGCCGUAACUAUAACGGUCCUAAGGUAGCGAAAUUCCUUGUCGGGUAAGUUCCGACCUGCACGAAUGGCGUAAUGAUGGCCAGGCUGUCUCCACCCGAGACUCAGUGAAAUUGAACUCGCUGUGAAGAUGCAGUGUACCCGCGGCAAGACGGAAAGACCCCGUGAACCUUUACUAUAGCUUGACACUGAACAUUGAGCCUUGAUGUGUAGGAUAGGUGGGAGGCUUUGAAGUGUGGACGCCAGUCUGCAUGGAGCCGACCUUGAAAUACCACCCUUUAAUGUUUGAUGUUCUAACGUGGACCCGUAAUCCGGGUUGCGGACAGUGUCUGGUGGGUAGUUUGACUGGGGCGGUCUCCUCCUAAAGAGUAACGGAGGAGCACGAAGGUUGGCUAAUCCUGGUCGGACAUCAGGAGGUUAGUGCAAUGGCAUAAGCCAGCUUGACUGCGAGCGUGACGGCGCGAGCAGGUGCGAAAGCAGGUCAUAGUGAUCCGGUGGUUCUGAAUGGAAGGGCCAUCGCUCAACGGAUAAAAGGUACUCCGGGGAUAACAGGCUGAUACCGCCCAAGAGUUCAUAUCGACGGCGGUGUUUGGCACCUCGAUGUCGGCUCAUCACAUCCUGGGGCUGAAGUAGGUCCCAAGGGUAUGGCUGUUCGCCAUUUAAAGUGGUACGCGAGCUGGGUUUAGAACGUCGUGAGACAGUUCGGUCCCUAUCUGCCGUGGGCGCUGGAGAACUGAGGGGGGCUGCUCCUAGUACGAGAGGACCGGAGUGGACGCAUCACUGGUGUUCGGGUUGUCAUGCCAAUGGCACUGCCCGGUAGCUAAAUGCGGAAGAGAUAAGUGCUGAAAGCAUCUAAGCACGAAACUUGCCCCGA